UGGUGGAGUGAUUUGUCUGGUUAAUUCCGUUAACGAACGAGACCUCAGCCUGCUAAAUAGAUGGGCAAACACUUGUGUGUUUGUACUAUCCAGACUUCUUAGAGGGACUGUCUGUAUCUAACAGAAGGAAGCAUGAGGCAAUAACA
rnacentral:rRNA from 1 species